UUGGGUAUGUUGGUUGGGUUGGGUUGGGUUGGGUUGGAUUGGGUUGAAUUGGGUUUGGCUUGGUUGGGCUUGGUUGGGUUUGGUUGGGUUUGGUUUGCUCUGUAGGGUCCAAAAACCCAUCAUCCAGGGGGGAGAAAACAAACACGUCUCGAUAUUGCCUGCUUCUCCUUUGAUACUAAUUUACCUUUUCAAAGCCUGGUACAACUUAUUGUGUGCAGGAGGGCUGGCUAGGUCUGAGUCCUGACUCCUUUCUUAAAAGAGAGAGAACAACAAACCAAAUCAAGGCACUUAAAUGCAAUUAACUUUGUCUUUUCCUGUAGGAUAUGAGGUCAGUAAAGCCUAUUAGAAGGAAUUAAAGCUGUUAGAUUUAGUGGCAAUUACCUUCUCCUGGAGAUAUGCAGACUGCCCCAGCUGCAGCCACACUUUGGUAUCUUGCAGUUCCUACUGUAGACCAGGUAACAAAAAUAGAACCUGGGUGUGCAAAAAUAAGGUGCCCUCCAGAAUUUCCUAUUUGCUAUUUAAACUCCUGCUCCCCCAUAUGUCUCACACCCACCACGGCCAAGAUUUCCUAGCUGAAAGUCAGAUUAAAACCCUCUGGGAUGAGAUGGGAGGGGGGUGAAGCAGCAUUUAUUUUGUAUUUUUGCAUCUGAAUUUGUUUCUCUGCUUCUGCUCAUGCUGUUCCUGUGCUCCGGAGCAGUUUCAUUGCUCGCCAUUGCAGGGAUGUGAUGUGGGCACAGUGCAGAGGCGCCGUCCUCCAUCCACAGAGGGCUGUAAACAGUCAAACAGCAGAAGAGGAAACGUGGCCAUCUGAAGGUGGGGGAGCAUCUGAAGGGUGAGGGCUCCUGCUCACUGUGGGCUCUGGGAACUUCCUACCUGCCCCCAAAACAUUGGUGCCAAACCACACUGCUGUUCCCACACCACGCAGUGCAAUAUGUGGGUUAGUAUGACACCACGCUGCAGCCUCACCUCAUGACAUCACACAGAGAUGCCAUUGGAAAGCAGAGCCUAAAAGGUCUGUGCCUUGAUGGACAUUCCACCUCCACCCUUUCCCUUGCUGCAGAGCACAAAUCCACUCUCCAGGACCUUCCCUUCCUCACCCAUUGCUGCUGUUUUGGGCCUGCUGACAAACACCCGCAGUGCCAGGGGCUCCUUCGCUUGUCAGGACAGGACUAGGAACUGUGGGCGUGAGAAUGAACAGGGUGGAUUUGGAAAGUUAAAAAUAAAAUGAUUCCUUUUAUUUGUGUCUUAGCGCAGAUUCCAAGGUGACCUGCCCAGGGCUGGAUGCUAGAAAACACUUGCAGGGAAAGGCAGCCUUUCUUUGGGUUAGGUGACAUGAAGUAGGAAGCCCAACACACAGAAAAAGAUGCGCAGAAAAGCAAAACUUAUGGGCAGACUGGGCUGGCAGGGUCUGUGCUCAGGAGUAAGGGAAAAGGAUUUAUCAUCAAGCUCAUUAGAAAACAUCUGGGCUCAGCAAAAGACCUGGAAUGCAACUCAGCAGCGGGGCGCUCCUCUCUUCUCCAGUGCCGGGAAUGUGAGCUCCUGCAGGGUGAGACUCGAGCCAGCUGUUUCCUCUAAUCCCAUCAGCCUUUCUGCCACGGGGGUCCAAUGCUCUGCAUGCAGGAGGGAACCAGAAAGUCCUGCUCCCUCCCCUCGGUGACUGGGAUUAGUGGUUUCUCUGCAGUGCCGUGCCAAUGCAUUUUGGGGCCCUGGGGCAGCAGUAAAAAACAAUGUACCCCUCCCAUCCGCGAGCAAGUCCAAGUGUGUUUAAUUGCUUUUCUUUCCACCUUGCCCAAUUGCUCCCGCUCGCAGGCAUGUCAGUCCCCUCCAUCCCUCCCUUUCUUCCUUCCCCAGCAACUCAGGUCAUGCAAAACUCUUCAACCCGUGUCUGCAGGGAGAGUUUCUACCUGGGAAGGCUGCGAUGAAGGCUGGGCUUCAUUCACAGGUGUCCUCCUCCCUAACAAUUCAAACCCUUUUUUUCCCCCCUUCCACCUCUCUUUCCCUCCAACUCCAUUACAACCAGCUAAACCCCCCCGUAACCACCUUAACUGCAACCCUCUCUUGUUCUGCUGCAGCUGGUGAGGAACUGAACGCAGCUUGCCAGGGGACACGGCCAGAAGUCUUGGCUUGUCAUUGCUUUCUUCAGCACGCCAAGAGGUCUGAGCCAUUUUUCACUGUUCUGCUUCUAAUGUCUCUAACAGUGCCCUUGGUAGCGAGUGCUUCAGUUGCUCCUCGGGUGCAUAACAAGAGUUAAAACUCUGAAGCCUCAGUGAAAUCAUUAGAGGCUCAUCCUGUGCUCCGAAGAGUCACAGCGACCUUGUCUCUAUCUACCAGCCCACCUCUAUUUAUACCUAAUAUGGAUAUAAAAUCCACAGCUGAGCUGAUAGAAAAACCACAGCCUCCCACAGGCCUGUCGCCUACCGGGGUGCACCCAAGGAUUUCAGGGAGUUACUUCUCAGGCAUAGGAGAACCCAGUUCCUGCAGCCCCAGGCUGAUGUCCAUCAUCCAAAGAUGCAUUUAUUGAUGCAUGAAACACCCCCAGCUCUUGACUGAUUAUCUCCGACACCAUGUAAACUUCAGAGAGAACUAAACAAAAAACGGGCCCCGUGCCUGGAAGAAAAGGGGAAUAAAAGCAAACAGCAUCAGCUGUUCCCUCAGACCAAAGCAAGGAAGAGAAAACAGGCGAUAGGGAGGAGCUGGGAGAGCAAAGCAGUCAUGAUCAGCAUAGAAAUAGAUUGUGUUACAUCAGAGAAGCAUGUCAGGGACAUCUUCAAGGAGUGUCUAAUGGUGUCCUUGAGUCGAAUAAAUUCCUGCCUUUAGUUCAUACCAGAUUAAGCCGUGGGAUGGAGAUGAGAACAGUGCAGUCAACCUUUACAGCCUUGGAAGUUCAGUAGAAUUUGUGGCCAACACGAACAGUUAGAUCAUCUGAUAUGAAUCCAUGUGUGUUACAGGUCAUUAGACUUCACCCAGUUACUCCCAUGUUGAGCUGUAACUUGUAUUUCAGACACCGAGAGUUGAAAAAUGCACCCAUUCCUCUGCUGGCUCACCCCAUUCUCAAUGCUUAGAAUCCAGUGCCUCACACCCAGCUGCUGGGGUCAAGCUUUAGUCUCUGCUUCUCAUUGUACCUCUCCCCAUUAGUAAACCCUGGUCCUGUGUAUUUUUUUCCCUUCCCUUCCAUGAAUUCAGCUCCAUAUUUUAAUAGACCAACUCUCACAGCUAAAGGAACAGCUUCUCUCAGUGCAUGUUCCUGAUUCAAGAACUGUUGUGGCCA